UUCUUCUUGGUCAUAUUAUAAGAAGUACGCCCUGCCCAAUGAAUAUUCAAUGGCCGCGGUAUCCUAACCGUGCAAAGGUAGCAUAAUCAUUUGCCCGUUAAUUGCGGGCUAGUAUGAACGGGUAAACGAAAUAGAACCUGUCUCAGUUAAAAUAAUUAAAAUUAUCCUCUAGAUGAAGAGAUCUAAAUAAAAUUGAAGGACAAGAAGACCCUAUAGAGCUUUACUUUUAUAAAAUACUGAAAUAUUUUAAACAGUUCGGUUGGGGCGACCAAGGACACAUAUAUCAUCCUACAACAUUAAGAUUCACACAUCUCUAUAUAUGACCCUAUAAUAGAUCAAAGAAACAAGCUACCUUAGGGAUAACAGGCUAAUCCUCCCACAGAGACCUUAUCAACAGGAGGGAUUGGCACCUCGAUGUUGGCUUAGGAAAUCUAUAUGAUGCAGAAGUCAUAAAAAGAAGGUUUGUCCAACCUAUAAUAUCCU
rnacentral:rRNA from 1 species